AUCGUGGGCGCAUUUCCUGUUCAGCGGAUCUUUUUCCUUAGCACUUUCGUUUCGGAAGGAGCCUUGAAGUUCUUUAUCUGGUGAUUGAACUGAAUAUAUCGCUCAUUGAUCUCAAAGAGAGAACCUUUCGCCGUCAAUACUGUAAGUGGAAAAGAGAGAAGAUGAAAACACGAGUGCACACGAGCUAACAGUAGUCACUGUUUUUUAAAAUGGAAAACGAAGUACCCAUUUCCGCUGUCAAUGUAUGUAUGGAUUCAGAGGAGCAACCUAAUGAAAACCACGAUUUCAAAAGGUAUAAACUGAGCCAAGUUUUGUCGAGUUUUGAGCAGAAGCUUAGAGAAAAAGGAACGUGCUUUGUAAAUGACGCACGGUUGACUUUAUUCCCAUGGACCCAAGCCUUGGUCAGUGUUGAAGAGAACUUAAACCACACGAGACUUGCUUUUAAGGAGAUGGAAGAAACUCUGAAGACUGAAAAUAGAAACAUGUGUGAAAUGCUCGCUAAUGAAAUAUGCUUGCGUAACCAGCGAGAACAGGAAUUUAGAGAAAAAGAAUCAAUGUUAGAGGAAACAAAGAAAACGUUGGAAAAGGAAAAAAUAUCAAGAAAUAAUGCAGAAGAAGAGUUAGAGGAAGCAAAAUCUGUUUCCAUGCUAAUGAAAAUAGAGAUGUGUGAAGCAAAGCGGAAGCUGAGGGAAACAGAAGGACUCUUGGACAAGCUAAGUCAAUCUUUGGCUGAAGAGGAGCGUCUGAGAACAGGAAUGGAAGAAGAAUUAAAACAAGAAACGCUUUCUUGUGCCGAGCUGAAGAAAAGAUUGGAAAUUGAGCGUCUGACUAAUCAGUCAUAUCAAGAAGUGGUCAGAACAAAGGAAGAGGCGUUUAAAGUUCAACUGCUUCAACUGAAACAAGAACAAAAGCAAAAGACAGCAUUAGAACGAACACUGAGUAGACUGGAAACUCAAAUGGAGGUGGAAAGAAACAGGUUAAUUCUCAACCAAACAGCCUUGUCUGCAGCUCAGGAGAAAUUAUCCGAAUACGAGCGGCGUCAACCGGGGACCAUUCCAAGAGGCGAAAUUGCUUUGGGGUUCCUUUUACCAACUUACUGGAUUUUACAACCAAAAGACUCACAGGACCUAGAAAAGACUGUACAUCUUGUUGAGCUGGAUCGUGCGAGUGGAACACAGGAAUACAAAAAUGUUCAGGACCGGUUCAGGAAAACCUGUCCUAACCAAAUUGUUAAGAUAGAGAGAGUUCAAAAUCCAGCCCUCUUCGGAAUGUAUAUGAUCCGAAAACAGAAGAUGGACAAGGCGAAGGGAAGCAACGAGCUGUGGUUAUUUCAUGGAACUGCGGGUAAUAAUUGCAAACUUAUAAAUCACGCAGGUUUCAACAGAAGUUUUUGUGGUAAAAAUGCAACCAUGUACGGAAAUGGCGUGUAUUUUGCUGAAGACGCCUCAUACUCAGCUCAGUCCAAGUAUUCACCAGCGGACGCGAGUGGUCAGCGAUACAUGUACCUGAGUAGAGUCUUGGUUGGUGAGUUUACACUAGGAAAACAAGGUCUUCUCACACCUCCAGCAAAGAAUCCAAAUGAUCUAACUGACACCUAUGAUAGCGUGGUUAAUAAGAUUCCCAACCCGAAAAUAUUUGUUGUGUUCUAUGACUGGCAGUGCUAUCCGGAGUACUUGAUUACCUUUCGCUGACUCGCACAGUGAUGCUUUUCUGGCUGUCUGUGUUAUGAUAACACACAAUGUAAUUCACCGAACAGAUAGUUCCAAAGUGGAAUUGCGAAAAACGCUUUAAACUGUAUUGGAUCCGUCAUACGUGACAACAUUGGACGUUAUUAUAAGCAAAUGCUUGACAGAAAAUAGGAUGCUACAGGUGUUACCUUACUUUACAAGGAUGGUAGCGACUGUAGAUCGCGCACUGUGUUAGUGCUUGGUAAACGCGCGUCUUUUUCGUUGAAGUAAUUUGUCAUCGGUAUGUUUGAGCUUUAUUAGUGUACUCAUUAGGUAGAGGUUGAUGGUUUUUAGAUAUAACCGUGGGUAUGGUACCGCCUAAACGGAAAGCAAUUUUACAGGAACAUUUUGUGAACUGUUUACGGACAAUUCACCCGUUGGUUCGAGUUUUCACACUGUUAGGUCGGAAAUUCUGUUCAGGAAUGCUUUUUUUCAUUGGAUUGGUAUCUCCGCAUAAAGAGUUCAGAUCAUGGAGCUCAGAACAAAUUAUUAACACGAAACUCAAAGCAUGCUACUUGGAUUUAGAUGUUAGAACGCUUUUGUGAGUGAACAACGUUCGGUUGUAACUCUUCGCAUGAUGCGAAUAAGGCCAGCCAUAACGAUAUUUUGCUUCUCUGCGUAUUUAAAUUACUCUAAAAGCAAGCGUUAAAUUUGGCUUUAUGACCAAUCUACUAUCGAAAAUGCCUAAAUGAACUAAUUACGUUGCUUAAUGCUCUAAGUUGAGAUGUGGAUGUAAUUAAUAAAUUGAGUUGAACGUUAUAAAGGACCGAAAAUUGAUUGAACUUUUAUCCGUCAAAAUCGCAAACUAUUAAAUGGUAUGCAAUCACUUUGAGAAGGGAGCUGAAUUAAAAUCCAAAGCGAGGCUGUUUCCUCAGGCGAACCUCAAUAGUUGCAAGUUAUUACCCAGGCUUACCUCGAACGUUCCGGGGAAAGACGUUCAAUCUUUUCGAGACAUGCAUUGAAGUGUGUCUCAGUUCCGGCUUAUCGAUAAUCUUAAAAAUUUUGAAUUGUUUCUGAUAGCUUUUGGCUGUGUGGAGCCGUGUGAAGUAUACGAUGGAGGACGACUACUGUAAAAAUAUGCUUCAAAAAAUUUCUCGCUCAGUUACUGAGAGAAGUAGUCGGCUAGAAAUUUAAAAAGCAUUGUACACGCUUGCAUGUUUUGCUUUUUUUGUUAGGGAAAGAGAAAAAUAAAUUAAUGCUUCUACUUA
rnacentral:misc_RNA from 1 species